rnacentral:rRNA from 1 species
GCUUAACACAUGCAAGUCGAGGGGCAUCAGGAAGAAAGCUUGCUUUCUUUGCUGGCGACCGGCGCACGGGUGAGUAAUACGUAUCCAACCUGCCCUUUACUCGGGGAUAGCCUUUCGAAAGAAAGAUUAAUACCCGAUAGCAUAAUGAUUCCGCAUGGUUUCAUUAUUAAAGGAUUCCGGUAAAGGAUGGGGAUGCGUUCCAUUAGGUUGUUGGUGAGGUAACGGCCCACCAAGCCUUCGAUGGAUAGGGGUUCUGAGAGGAAGGUCCCCCACAUUGGAACUGAGACACGGUCCAAACUCCUACGGGAGGCAGCAGUGAGGAAUAUUGGUCAAUGGGCGCUAGCCUGAACCAGCCAAGUAGCGUGAAGGAUGAAGGCUCUAUGGGUCGUAAACUUCUUUUAUAUAAGAAUAAAGUGCAGUAUGUAUACUGUUUUGUAUGUAUUAUAUGAAUAAGGAUCGGCUAACUCCGUGCCAGCAGCCGCGGUAAUACGGAGGAUCCGAGCGUUAUCCGGAUUUAUUGGGUUUAAAGGGAGCGUAGGUGGACUGGUAAGUCAGUUGUGAAAGUUUGCGGCUCAACCGUAAAAUUGCAGUUGAUACUGUCAGUCUUGAGUACAGUAGAGGUGGGCGGAAUUCGUGGUGUAGCGGUGAAAUGCUUAGAUAUCACGAAGAACUCCGAUUGCGAAGGCAGCUCACUGGACUGCAACUGACACUGAUGCUCGAAAGUGUGGGUAUCAAACAGGAUUAGAUACCCUGGUAGUCCACACAGUAAACGAUGAAUACUCGCUGUUUGCGAUAUACAGUGAGCGGCCAAGCGAAAGCAUUAAGUAUUCCACCUGGGGAGUACGCCGGCAACGGUGAAACUCAAAGGAAUUGACGGGGGCCCGCACAAGCGGAGGAACAUGUGGUUUAAUUCGAUGAUACGCGAGGAACCUUACCCGGGCUUAAAUUGCAGUGGAAUGAUGUGGAAACAUGUCAGUGAGCAAUCACCGCUGUGAAGGUGCUGCAUGGUUGUCGUCAGCUCGUGCCGUGAGGUGUCGGCUUAAGUGCCAUAACGAGCGCAACCCUUAUCUUUAGUUACUAACAGGUUAUGCUGAGGACUCUAGAGAGACUGCCGUCGUAAGAUGUGAGGAAGGUGGGGAUGACGUCAAAUCAGCACGGCCCUUACGUCCGGGGCUACACACGUGUUACAAUGGGGGGUACAGAAGGCAGCUAGCGGGUGACCGUAUGCUAAUCCCAAAAUCCUCUCUCAGUUCGGAUCGAAGUCUGCAACCCGACUUCGUGAAGCUGGAUUCGCUAGUAAUCGCGCAUCAGCCACGGCGCGGUGAAUACGUUCCCGGGCCUUGUACACACCGCCCGUCAAGCCAUGGGAGCCGGGGGUGCCUGAAGUACGUAACCGCAAGGAUCGUCCUAGGGUAAAACUGGUGACUGGGGCUAAG